rnacentral:misc_RNA from 1 species
AAAGGGCAUUGUAUUGAUUUGUUAAACUAAAGCCAAAAAUUCCUCUUUCACAAGUCUCAGUUCUACAUAAAACAAAAUCGACGAUAAAACAUCCCUGACAAAACAAUAAUAAAAACCAAGUUGGAGUUCUGAAAAACUAAGGCAGCAAAGCUUAAGGAGCACCAGAACCAUAGAUAAACCACUGACACGGCCAUAACAGGAGGAAUCCAGGAACAAGCUUACAGCCUUCUUCCUCUUCUUCCACCCUUUCUGCGAGUGCUAUCUGUUGGAAUUGGAGUCACAUCCUCUAUGCGUCCAAUCCUCAUUCCAGAACGAGCAAGAGCACGAAGUGCAGACUGGGCACCUGGGCCAGGUGUUUUGGUCUUGUUUCCUCCAGUAGCACGCAGUUUAAUAUGAAGGGCAGUAAUACCGAGUUCCUUGCAUCUCUGUGAAACAUCCUGUGCUGCAAGCAUA